rnacentral:lncRNA from 1 species
UGUUUUGGAACCACAAAACAGCACAGCCGGGGGAGAAGACUUUGUUCUGAUUCAUGUUUUUAUAGCAAGGUGCCAGCUAGCCAUUUCAUCUGGCCAUCUGGCCAUCUCUCUAUCCAUCUAUCAUUUGAGCUCCUUGAACUCAGAGCCCAGGUUUCAGGUCUUAUUCUGGGCAACCCCAGGCAACCAUUUGUUUUAUUUGGGGCUCAGCGUCCUCAUCCGUAGAAUGGGUUCUGCUAAGGACCCUCUGGGUCUGCAGCUCCUAAUUCUGAGCUGCUAUUAUGUGCAGGCUUCAUGCUUGACUCAGGCGGAGCUGUUCACUUGUUGCUGUCUCCAGGGCUGACCAGAAAGCCAGGCUUUUGACCUUCCAGAGUCCAGGAGCAAAUACAGAAGCCCCAGCAUGGAGUCCAUCCAGCAGUCCCUGGGCCUUUCUAAGCCUCAGUGAAGUUCAUUGUCUCUUGGGAGUGGUGUGGUUAGUGUUGCAGGGAGGCAGGUGAAUUGAUGAACAGGUUUCAAAGUGGGAGCAGAAAGUUCUCCAUGGAGGCAUGCUGAGAACAGGGCUAAUUUUCAUACAGAGAAGAACUUGACACACAACGUAGCCUUCUUCACAGAGGUGAAGGGUCUUGUGCAGAGGGCUCAGGGUGCUAAUUUCUGAAGAGCAAGGAAUCCGUUUACAUUUUUGGAGGGAGUUAAGCCUUUUUGAGGAAGACCUCCUCUGUAGGAGAGUAUUAAUGGCUUUAACAGUUUGUGGUUUCCUUCCCCCAAAGACUUGAGGAUGUGGAAGGCAUGGGGUCUUCUAACCUGAAAGGAACUGGCUGCCUCUCUUUCCUGGGGGAGGGGUAGAGCCAUCUCCAGAAGCUUCUCCACAAGCCACCUAAUUCUGAAAGGCUAACUUUGCUUCCUCAUCUUUGUUGGGAGUGCAGUGGGUUAGGGCAUCUGGGUCUUGAAGUAGGAAUAGGAGUUGGCCAUGUGAAGGGCAAGUGAAUUAGAGAUGAGGAAACUAAACUGAGAUGCAGAAUCCUGAGUCGGCAUAGCAGCCUGGGAACCUCUAUAUGGGUGCAGCCCUCAAGAGACAAUAAAUAAAUAAAUAAAAGCAGGUGUGUGUGUGUGCGUGCGUGCAUGCACUUGCACGUUGUGAUAAUUGAUGAGGAAAUGGAUCUGACAUGACUUUAUGACCGCAGGUAUUGGGGGAGAGGAGUGGUCAAGGAUACCUCCUAGGACCCUUAAUGAAGGAUAUAGAGCUCUUUCUGUUGAUGCCUACACAGCCUUAGUUCUCCCUUUCCUUCUCCUAAUUGCACGUAGAUUUUUAUUCUCUUUCCCAAGAAAAAUAUUCUUACUCCCAACAACCUCACUUCUGUCCCCCGCUCCGUGAGCUGAUUUUAGCCAAUCAGAGUUAAUCCAACUUUCCUAGGCUCAAUGAUUGGCUUAGGCCUGCGCUUUUGAACCUAUCAAUGCAUCCAUUUCCUUGGGCAUAGCAAUUGGUGAAUAAGUGGGCACGUGACACCAUCUGGGCCAAUGAGGAGACCUAAGAGAUGCCAGUCCCGGCCUCUGCCUCUGGAUGUAAUGUUUAGUGUGGGUCUGAGAAGUGGCUAGUGGCUUUGGCAGCUAAGAGCUUUCAUUUAGAUGCCCUAAGGCUGAAUUUCAGGCUAUUUGAUUCUGCUGAUGCUUCUCAGUGCAUAUUUGUUUAUAUAUGUGAGUUUUUAACACUGUAUUUUAACCUGAAGGCAGAGAAUGAAACUUUAUACAGACACUCAUAUUUUUUUUAUUUGAAACAGAAAAGGUAAAACACAAAUAUACAGUCCAUCCACGAUUCUUUUGCUUUAUUUAUUUGAAUUAUAUAGAAUAAUUUGUUUCUGUUUCCCUAGCACUGGCUUUUCCACUUCCGCAUGUGUAGGGCUAAUUAUUAUUUUCUACUUGAUGUGUAUUCUUUCUGACUUUUUUCCUAUGGGUAUACAAACAUAUCUGUAUGCAAACACACACGCACAUACUUUUAAUUUAUUUUUUGCUUUAUAGUUUUUGGCUGCACCCCCAGCAUGCGGAAGUUCCCGGGUCAGAAAUCAAACCUACGCCGUAGCAGUGACCUGAGCCACAGUAGUGACAAUGCUGAAUUCUUAUGCUGCUGAGUCACUAGGGAACUUCACACACAAACUUUUAACAUGGUGUUUCAGUCGUGCUGUACACAUUGGUGUCCAAUCUCAAGAUACUUAGCUUUGUGGAGAAGGGUCCAAGGAAGGACCGUCUCUGUGUCUGCAACACCUUUGCCCUCGUGGAACUUCUGUCUUUAUUUAUCUGGUGGCAGUUGGCUUUCCAUUUACUUUGAGUGUGUUCACAUAUUUACCGCUAGGUAAAUGCCCCUGAGUCUUAGGACAGUGAAGUAUCUGAAUUUCAUCUCAGCCUUCCUCUAAAUUCUUUUGGCCAGUACCCGACAGCCUAAGAGGGAACUCGGGAGUAGUUAAAACUGGCUCAAGGGUAAAAAUGGGGAACAAGUGAGUAAAAAAAAAAAAGUCAAGGAAAUGUUUAAGUAAUACAAUCUCCAUUUCAGAUUUUGGAAUUGAAUGCCAAGUGCGGAAUGUUAAAUGGGACGUUUCCAGAGCUUGGGAGAAGUUUGAUAUAUAGUAUGUAAUUAACAGGCUGAAGAGAGUGCCAUUUUUUAUAUCUUCUACUUGUCACUUGUGCAGAUUUGAUUUCAAAUAUGAUUUUUGAGGUUACGAGGGUAAUUAAUUGUAUGGUCUCUUCCAGGAAAUAUCAUUCACCUGGGGAACAUCCUCUAAAUUGAUAGACCCAGAGAAAGAGCAGAUGAAGGGAGCUAGAAGCAGCUAUUCAUUUAUUCACUUAACAGAUAUUUAUUAGGUACCUGCUGGGUGCUGUGGACCUGGCUGCUCAGAUUGGGAGACACAGUGGAGAUGGCAGGGCGUUGGUGGGACCUUGCCUCAUCUGGCAGGGGACCAAGAAUGCAAAAGCAAAGGCUCAGCUCCACUGAGAUAGACCCGUGGGUCCUGGAUCUGGACCAGACAGAUGCUUGACUGGGCUCCUUCACAUGAAUGAGACUAAUUUUGUAUGUUUUUUUUUUUGUAUCUAGUUAUAGAUUCUUUUAAACAAAUAAGAUCAGCCCAUUUAAGAGAGUGAAGAUAUUAGGGAGCACAAGAGUAAAACUGGUAUCUGCCAUCAGUCAAGUGAUCCUUGAGCCCCUUGAGUAUUUUGCUAAAUUUUCUUUCAGCUCCCCCCCUUUUUUUUUUGAGCCUGCGAUUGAACUCAAACCACAACAGAGAAUUUUCCCAUAUUUGAUGACACUCUUGUUUCCAUUGCUGAGGAAUGAGUCCAGAGUGAAACAUUCCAACUUUAUCCACAUAUGACUGUAAAAGAAAGUGUCAAAUCCUUCACAGUAUUCCUGGCCCCAGACUGGCUGGUUCCGUCAGCCGGGUUGGCCAAGGCCAUGCUUCUCUUCCAUCUGCAGGUGCGUUGAGAGCCCACCUCCUCCUCUCACUAGUCUUCUGGUUGUCGAUGCCUUCAUUUUGAUGCAUCUGUGGAUGGAGUGGAGUGUGUCUUCAGGUAAUUAGAAAAGCAAGAGUAGGUGUGUGUGGAGGUUUGUUUAUUCGAUCUAGAGUCAAGAGUUCCUGGAUUCAAUUCCUAGUUCUCCAAGUUGCUGGAACUUGCUGAGACUCAGUUUUCUCAUCAGCAGAGUUUGUUUUCUUGCCAUUUUUUAUUAGCUCUUCUGGUUAGAAAGCUUCUGUUCCUGUGCUAUCUUUGACCCCACUGGGGUGUCAAGAUUAGAGACAUGUUGAAUAGGUAGGCAGAGGGUUCCCAUCCUGGCCCAGCAGUAGUGAACCCAACUAGUAUCCAUGAGGACGCGGGUUCGAUGCCUGGCCUUGCUCAGUGGGUUAAUGAUUCGGUAUUGCUCUGAGCUAUGGUGUAGGUCGAAGACAUGGCUUGGUUCUGGCAUUGCUGUGGCUGUGGUAUAGGUCGGUGACUAUUAGCUCCGAUUUGACACCUAGCCUGGGAACUUCCAUAUGCC